GACAGAGGAGGCGAGCGUUGUUCGGAAUCACUGGGCUUAAAGCGCGUGUAGGCGGCUCGGAAAGCGUCGUGUGAAAUCCCGUGGCUCAACCACGGAACUGCACGGCGAACUCCCGGGCUUGAGGCUGGUAGAGGUGCCUGGAACUCUAGGUGGAGCGGUGAAAUGCGUAGAUAUCUAGAGGAACGCCGGAGGCGAAAGCGGGGCACUGGGCCGGUUCUGACGCUGAGACGCGAAAGCGUGGGGAG
rnacentral:rRNA from 1 species